AAAGAAGAAAACGUCUGUGAUAAUCUGUGCUGAAUGUGAGAUGUCCAGAUGUGUAAAAAACAAUUUGCAUUAGUUUAAAUGUAAAAGUUACUUAGUAGAUCAAAAACCGAAACUUCACUUUACCACAUCUUUAACAAAAGAGAAAUAAAUACAGGAAUGUUUUCCAAGGAUAAAAAAAGAUUUUUAAACAAAGAUCGUGUUAAGAAACAUGGGUCCUUAAGCGAAUGAAAUAGGACGAUCCUUAUAAUACGGACACAUUGGAAGACUCUUUGAAAGACCCCUUGGGAUAUGAAGAGGGACCUAGUAUAUUAGACGCCGGUCAAGAAAACUUCCCAUAUUCUCGAGAUAUAUCGAGCGACGAUGUUCCAUAUUUUCCAAACCCUUCAUCAGACGUAGAAGCAGCGAAUGAAAAUUCGGCAGAUUUUCGUGAUUUCGAAGAUGAGUAUGUGUCUUGUAAUGAGUAUUCAGACAUUGAUGAAAGCAUGUUUUAAGAUGUUCUAGAGCAUGAGAUGUACUGUGCAGAUGAGGAAGAUAUAUGUGGAGAUGAAUCAAAAGAUGAAGAUAGUGAAAAAGAUGGAGAGAGUGAAGAAGACACAUCUACAGAAGACUUAUCCGAUGAUGAGCAACUGGAAAAUAAGAAUGGUGAUUUAAUAGAAAUAGAAGAAAUUUCGAGAAUUAGAAAUUGGGCACAGAGAGGGGCAGUACCACUUACAAAAGUAAACGAAAUGCUUCAGAUUUUAAGAAAAGUCUACUACCUCAAUUACCAGCUUCGUCCAAGACAUUAUUAGGAACCUCGUCUGCUGAAUACACUAUCACAAGAAUGGAAUACAAAGAUGGAGAAGGAGAAUUCGCAUAUCUUGACCUAGCCUCAGGAAUUAAAAAUUGCCUAAACGUGAAAUAACAUAAGAAUAAUAAAAUCCCUUUAAUAAUUGCAGUUGAUGGAAUGCAACUUUUUGUUUCAUCUAACGAAGAUUUGUCGCCAAUUUUGGGUAAAAUUUACUCAAUUCCAGAUAUUUAUGAGCCUUUUUGUAUUGCUUUGUAUUUGGGGAAAUACAAGCCAAGAAGUAUACACGAAUACCUAGACCAGUUUAUCGAAGAAAUGCAUUUUUUAUUGCAAGAGGGAAUAACUAUUGAAAAUAUACACUUUGAGGUACAAAUAAAGUGUCUUGUGUGUGAUACUCCCGCGCGUUCCUUUUUAAAGUGUACUAAGGGCCACGGAGGGUAUUAUGCUUGUGAAAAAUGCACAGUGAAAGGAAAACGAGUGAAACCAAAAAAUUUAGGAGAGGACAAGAAGGGUGGAAGAACGGUGUAUCCUGCAACAGACGAACCUGAAAGAACUGAUAGUUCGUUCAGAGAACAAAAGCAACCAGAGCAUCAUCACCAAAAGACGCCUCUGCUUAAACUGAAACAAAUUUUAAAUAUGGUUACAAUAUUUAUUCUGGAUUUUAUGCAUUUAGGCUCAGGCGUUAUGAAGUGAUUAUUAGAAUACUGGACGAAAGGGUUGCUGAGAACGAAACUAAUUGUCAGGGAUAGACUAAGAUUAUCAGAAAGACUAAAAACUAUGAAAUAUGAAUCUCCAGUGGAGUUUCAUAGAAAACCCCGAUCAUUAAAGUUUCUUGCCAAAUUCAAAGCGAUCGAGUUUCGCUUUAUUUUGCUGUAAGGUGGCCCAAUUUUGUUUUAAAACAUCUUGAGUUCUCGCCUAUAUAAACACUUCCUUCUCCUACAUGCUGCUUGUAGAAUACUCUGCGAUAAGGAAUUUGCUGUUCCAUGGAAUCAAAUCGCGAAGCAAUAUUUAGUCCUCUUUUUUAAGUUAUUAAAUUUCACGUAUGGGACUGUAUCCGAAAUCAUGAAUAUGCAUAAUCUCAUUCAUCUCGCAGAUGAUGUACUAAAUAUGAAUUGCUGUCUACGUGAAAUCACGGCGUUCCCAUUUGAAAAUUUUUUUGGAAAAUUAAAAAGACUAGUUCGAAGUGGAAAUAAAGCUUUGGCCCAACUAUGUCGUCGAUUGCAUGAGAAAGUGUUUGUUCAGAAGAACAAAAAACCGAAUUCUCCAUCAAUCGUACAAUUAAUUGCCUUUAAUUCCAAAAGAGAGAAGGCACUGAUAUACAAAGUUUGAAAUACAAAGACUUUAUUAUUUCCACAUCGUCUCCAAACAACGCAGUUAUGCUUCUAGAGAAAACUUAUCAAGAUCAAUAACAUUUUUAAGCCAAAGGAAACGAUUUCCGACGAAGAAAUUGAAAUAUGUGGAUGCAUUUGGCAUAAGGAAGGGUCAAUUUUUAAUUAUCUCUUAAGCUCCAAUGAUUUAUACAUGUGGGAGAUGAAAUCAGGAUUAGCGAAUAGAAAAAGAAAUUAUUACUUGAAAGAUGUCAUCUACGGAACGAAUUAGGAAGAGAGAAUUUGUAAUUCCUAUACUUCAUCACUGAAAUUUUUUUAUUUUCAGUCACAAUUACAAUGAGCGAGCUAACUUCAUUAUUCAAAAGUACUACUCACGUCGUAGUACAAUUCCUGAAACUAAAUAAGAAAGAGCAGAGGGUCGCUGAUUUAUAAAAAAAAUCAAAGAAAUGGUUUUUUAGAUACCCGUCCACAAACGUGUAUCAAUUUAUAGAAGAGUGGGUACAGUGUGGUAAAUUGCCAAGCCCAAAGUGGAAAAAAUGGGAGAUUUUCAUUUUAAAAGAAGCUGACAGUUUUGAGCAGGGCUUGCGACGGCUCGAUAGGGCAUUUUCAUGUGCCCAUAUCGACACUAGUACUUUUGAGCGGAGUUGCUUGAGUGCCGAAGAAAUCGAAUCGAACGAUAGUAGGACAUCUGAUUCCGAAUAAUAAGAGACGGCUGAAACACUUUUUAAUUCAGCGAAAAAAAACUCAUCUUUUAAAGAAAAAACAUCAAUUAUUUCGAGAAGAAUCGCGCGUGUCCGCAGGCUCACAAAUUUUGUCUGCAGAUGAAGAAACGCAGACUGACUUAGACACCAGUGGAGAUAAAAACAGGAGAAAUAAAAACAAAUCCGAAAAGCGCUAACGAACAAAUUCUUUAUCGAAUCUAUGGUAUAAAGAAUCAGUGAAUCAUAUUUCACUAGAAGAUCACGAUAUUAUGGAAAGUGCAGCCAAAAAACUUAAACCUAGGUUCUCUGAAUCUCUAAAGGAGACUAACGAGAAUACAGAGCAAAGUUCACUGGAUGGAUUAGAUAAGUCUGGAAAAUCAAAAUCCGAAAUUUCACAACAAUCGCAACGCAAGCGCAGUUUAAAAAGUUCCCAAGAUUGGGGACACUUUGACUCAUGUUGAUGGUCGAUCCAAUUUCUCAAUUUCUAGAUGGAAAGAAAACGGAAUAAGUAGCUAUUGCACAAUGUUAAACAAUAACGAUCACAAAUUGUGCAACCACUAUUUAUUUUAGUUUUAAACAAUAGGUCAAUUUAUGACAAAGUAUAUAAUAAUUAUAAUUAUCAAAAACUCUAAAAGAGACCGGUCAUGUAUCUCGAGUUUGUAGAAAAAGCAAAAUAGAAAAUUCUAAAGUUUGAAUAUUGUUCCUUUUUUAAAAUUGUGUUUGGUUAUGCAGUUACUAGGAAAUCCGGG